rfam:Desulfobacterales bacterium C00003104 5133_contig_16657.2, whole genome shotgun sequence.
GCCGGCGUAGCUCAGUGGUAGAGCAACUGAUUCGUAAUCAGUAGGUCGCGGGUUCAACUCCCAUCGCCGGCU